rnacentral:rRNA from 1 species
UACGAAGGGUGCAAACGUUGCUCGGAAUUAUUGGGCGUAAAGCGCACGUAGGCGGCUUAGCAAGUCGGAAGUGAAAUCCCUCGGCUCAACCAAGGAAGUGCUUUCGAAACUGCUGAGCUUGAGUACUUAAGAGGAUCGCGGAAUUCCCGGUGUAGAGGUGAAAUUCGUAGAUAUCAGGAGGAACACCAAUGGCGAAGGCAGCACUCUGGGACGUGACUGACGCUGAGACGCGAAAGCGUGGGGAGCAAACAGG